rnacentral:rRNA from 1 species
GGGUUGUGAGGUUAAGCGACUAAGCGUACACGGUGGAUGCCCUGGCAGUCAGAGGCGAUGAAGGGCGUGCUAAUCUGCGAUAAGCGCCGGUAAGGUGAUAUGAACCGUUAUAACCGGCGAUACCCGAAUGGGGAAACCCAGUGUGAUUCGUCACACUAUCAUUAACUGAAUCCAUAGGUUAAUGAGGCGAACCGGGGGAACUGAAACAUCUAAGUACCCCGAGGAAAAGAAAUCAACCGAGAUUCCCCCAGUAGCGGCGAGCGAACGGGGAGGAGCCCAGAGCCUGAAUCAGCAUGUGUGUUAGUGGAAGCGUCUGGAAAGGCGCGCGAUACAGGGUGACAGCCCCGUACACAAAAGCGCAUGUGCUGUGAGCUCGAUGAGUAGGGCGGGACACGUGGUAUCCUGUCUGAAUAUGGGGGGACCAUCCUCCAAGGCUAAAUACUCCUGACUGACCGAUAGUGAACCAGUACCGUGAGGGAAAGGCGAAAAGAACCCCGGCGAGGGGAGUGAAAAAGAACCUGAAACCGUGUACGUACAAGCAGUGGGAGCNNNNNNNNNNNNNNNNNNNNNNNNNNNNNNNNNNNNNNNNNNNGGGCGUUAAGUUGCAGGGUAUAGACCCGAAACCCGGUGAUCUAGCCAUGGGCAGGUUGAAGGUUGGGUAACACUAACUGGAGGACCGAACCGACUAAUGUUGAAAAAUUAGCGGAUGACCUGUGGCUGGGGGUGAAAGGCCAAUCAAACCGGGAGAUAGCUGGUUCUCCCCGAAAGCUAUUUAGGUAGCGCCUCGUGAAUUCAUCUCCGGGGGUAGAGCACUGUUUCGGCUAGGGGGCCAUCCCGGCUUACCAACCCGAUGCAAACUGCGAAUACCGGAGAAUGUUAUCACGGGAGACACACGGCGGGUGCUAACGUCCGUCGUGAAGAGGGAAACAACCCAGACCGCCAGCUAAGGUCCCAAAGUCAUGGUUAAGUGGGAAACGAUGUGGGAAGGCCCAGACAGCCAGGAUGUUGGCUUAGAAGCAGCCAUCAUUUAAAGAAAGCGUAAUAGCUCACUGGUCGAGUCGGCCUGCGCGGAAGAUGUAACGGGGCUAAACCAUGCACCGAAGCUGCGGCAGCGACACUGUGUGUUGUUGGGUAGGGGAGCGUUCUGUAAGCCUGCGAAGGUGGCCUGUGAGGGUUGCUGGAGGUAUCAGAAGUGCGAAUGCUGACAUAAGUAACGAUAAAGCGGGUGAAAAGCCCGCUCGCCGGAAGACCAAGGGUUCCUGUCCAACGUUAAUCGGGGCAGGGUGAGUCGACCCCUAAGGCGAGGCCGAAAGGCGUAGUCGAUGGGAAACGGGUUAAUAUUCCCGUACUUGGUGUUACUGCGAAGGGGGGACGGAGAAGGCUAUGUUGGCCGGGCGACGGUUGUCCCGGUUUAAGCGUGUAGGUGUGUGUUCCAGGUAAAUCCGGUUCACUUUAACACUGAGGCGUGACGACGAGGCACUACGGUGCUGAAGCAACAAAUGCCCUGCUUCCAGGAAAAGCCUCUAAGCAUCAGGUAACAUCAAAUCGUACCCCAAACCGACACAGGUGGUCAGGUAGAGAAUACCAAGGCGCUUGAGAGAACUCGGGUGAAGGAACUAGGCAAAAUGGUGCCGUAACUUCGGGAGAAGGCACGCUGACACGUAGGUGAAGUGAUUUACUCAUGGAGCUGAAGUCAGUCGAAGAUACCAGCUGGCUGCAACUGUUUAUUAAAAACACAGCACUGUGCAAACACGAAAGUGGACGUAUACGGUGUGACGCCUGCCCGGUGCCGGAAGGUUAAUUGAUGGGGUCAGCGCAAGCGAAGCUCCUGAUCGAAGCCCCGGUAAACGGCGGCCGUAACUAUAACGGUCCUAAGGUAGCGAAAUUCCUUGUCGGGUAAGUUCCGACCUGCACGAAUGGCGUAAUGAUGGCCAGGCUGUCUCCACCCGAGACUCAGUGAAAUUGAACUCGCUGUGAAGAUGCAGUGUACCCGCGGCAAGACGGAAAGACCCCGUGAACCUUUACUAUAGCUUGACACUGAACAUUGAGCCUUGAUGUGUAGGAUAGGUGGGAGGCUUUGAAGUGUGGACGCCAGUCUGCAUGGAGCCGACCUUGAAAUACCACCCUUUAAUGUUUGAUGUUCUAACGUGGACCCGUUACCCGGGUUGCGGACAGUGUCUGGUGGGUAGUUUGACUGGGGCGGUCUCCUCCUAAAGAGUAACGGAGGAGCACGAAGGUUGGCUAAUCCUGGUCGGACAUCAGGAGGUUAGUGCAAUGGCAUAAGCCAGCUUGACUGCGAGCGUGACGGCGCGAGCAGGUGCGAAAGCAGGUCAUAGUGAUCCGGUGGUUCUGAAUGGAAGGGCCAUCGCUCAACGGAUAAAAGGUACUCCGGGGAUAACAGGCUGAUACCGCCCAAGAGUUCAUAUCGACGGCGGUGUUUGGCACCUCGAUGUCGGCUCAUCACAUCCUGGGGCUGAAGUAGGUCCCAAGGGUAUGGCUGUUCGCCAUUUAAAGUGGUACGCGAGCUGGGUUUAGAACGUCGUGAGACAGUUCGGUCCCUAUCUGCCGUGGGCGCUGGAGAACUGAGGGGGGCUGCUCCUAGUACGAGAGGACCGGAGUGGACGCAUCACUGGUGUUCGGGUUGUCAUGCCAAUGGCACUGCCCGGUAGCUAAAUGCGGAAGAGAUAAGUGCUGAAAGCAUCUAAGCACGAAACUUGCCCCGAGAUGAGUUCUCCCUGAGACUUAGAGUCUCCUGAAGGAACGUUGAAGACGACGACGUUGAUAGGCCGGGUGUGUAAGCGCAGCGAUGCGUUGAGCUAACCGGUACUAAUGAACCGUGAGGCUUAACCUUACAACGCCGAAG